rnacentral:rRNA from 1 species
AAUAUUGCACAAUGGGCGAAAGCCUGAUGCAGCGACGCCGCGUGAGCGAAGAAGUAUUUCGGUAUGUAAAGCUCUAUCAGCAGGGAAGAUAAUGACGGUACCUGACUAAGAAGCACCGGCUAAAUACGUGCCAGCAGCCGCGGUAAUACGUAUGGUGCAAGCGUUAUCCGGAUUUACUGGGUGUAAAGGGAGCGUAGGCGGUUUUACAAGUCUGAUGUGAGAGCCCGGGGCUCAACUCCGGUAUUGCAUUGGAAACUGUAGAACUAGAGUGUCGGAGGGGUAAGUGGAAUUCCUAGUGUAGCGGUGAAAUGCGUAGAUAUUAGGAGGAACACCAGUGGCGAAGGCGGCUUACUGGACGAUUACUGACGCUGAGGCUCGAAAGCGUGGGGAGCAAAC